CUAACCGUAAGGAGGCAGGUGACCACGGUAGGGUCAGCGACUGGGGUGAAGUCGUAACAAGGUAGCCGUAGGGGAACCUGCGGCUGGAUCACCUCCUUUCUAAGG
rnacentral:rRNA from 1 species